AGCUUUGCGCAGUGGCAGUAUCGUAGCCAAUGAGGUUUAUCCGAGGCGUGAUUAUUGCUAAUUGAAAAAUCUUAAAAAAAAAAACAAACCCAGAAAGAAAGAUAAAUCUCCUUUUUUCUUUAGCCAGCCUUUGG
rnacentral:snRNA from 1 species